UACGGAGGAUGCAAGCGUUAUCCGGAUUCAUUGGGUUUAAAGGGUGCGUAGGCGGCCUAAUAAGUCAGAUGUGAAAUACCAGGGCUCAACCUUGGGGGUGCAUUUGAAACUGUUGGGCUUGAGUGCAGGAGAGGAAAGUGGAAUUCCUAGUGUAGCGGUGAAAUGCGUAGAGAUUAGGAGGAACACCAGUGGCGAAGGCGACUUUCUGGACUGUAACUGACGCUGAGGCACGAAAGCGUGGGUAGCGAACAGGAUUAGAUACCCGAGUA
rnacentral:rRNA from 1 species